rnacentral:rRNA from 1 species
AGUGAACGCUGGCGGUAGGCCUAACACAUGCAAGUCGAACGGCAGCACAGUAAGAGCUUGCUCUUACGGGUGGCGAGUGGCGGACGGGUGAGGAAUACAUCGGAAUCUACUUUUUCGUGGGGGAUAACGUAGGAAAACUUACGCUAAUACCGCAUACGACCUACGGGUGAAAGCAGGGGAUCUUCGGACCUUGCGCGAUUGAAUGAGCCGAUGUCGGAUUAGCUAGUUGGCGAGGUAACGGCCCACCAAGGCAACGAUCCGUAGCUGGUCUGAGAGGAUGAUCGGCCACACUGGAACUGAGACACGGUCCAGACUCCUACGGGAGGCAGCAGUAGGGAAUCUUGGACAAUGGGCGCAAGCCUGAUCCAGCCAUACCGCGUGGGUGAAGAAGGUCUUCGGGUUGUAAAGCUCUUUUGUUGGGAAAGAAAAGCAGUAUGUUAAUCCCCCGCUGUUUUGACGGUACCCAAAGAAUAAGCACCGGCUAACUUCGUG